UUGUUUUAAGAAAUUAAGUUUGUCGAAUACAUACUUGGAAAUUUUUUGUCCUCUACUCAAGUGUAAUAAACUGGAAUCCUGUUCUUUCUUAUGUCUGUGCAAACAUAAGUCUGCUGUCCCAUAUUCUCACAGUCUCAGGCGCACCUCAAUGUUCAGUGGCCAUGUGAACAGCCUUGUGGGUCGCCCCUCCAGACGCCCGUUGUGGCUAGGGCCUUAUCAAGUGUUAAUAUUUACAGCGCGUAAUUGCGUCAAUGGCAACAGCAUCGCUUCGUUGACUUCUCCGAAUCACGUGUGCAUUAUUUAAGCACUUUUCCUGAUAACAGGCAGUGCCCACCUUAUCGACAAGCAUGUUUUGGACGGGUUUAUCGUAAGGCCCAUAUCAGAGAGAG